UAAAAGUUAGUUUAAUUUUUAGAAUAACUGGCUGUUAACCGGGAGGUAGACUUUAGA
rnacentral:tRNA from 1 species